rnacentral:rRNA from 1 species
AGUGAACGCUGGCGGCGUGCUUAACACAUGCAAGUCGAACGAGAACGGGUUAUAGCUUGCUAUAAUUGUCAGCUAAGUGGCGCACGGGUGAGUAAUGUAUAGGUAAUAUGCCUCUUACUAAGGGAUAACAAAUGGAAACGUUUGCUAAUACCUUAUACUCCUUAUUAACAGAAGUUAAUAAGGGAAAGAUUUAUUGGUAAGAGAUUAGCCUGUAUUGUAUCAGUUAGUUGGUGGGGUAAUGGCUUACCAAGACUAUGACACAUAACUGGUUUGAGAGGAUGAUCAGUCACACUGGAACUGAGACACGGUCCAGACUCCUACGGGAGGCAGCAGUGGGGAAUAUUGGACAAUGGGCGAAAGCCUGAUCCAGCAACGCCGCGUGAGGGAUGACGGCCUUCGGUGCGUAAACUCCUUUUAUAUGAGAAGAUAAUGACGGUAUUAUAUGAAUAAGCACCGGCUAACUCCGUGCCAGCAGCCGCCGUAA